UCAAGAGUGCGUGAAACCACUGGGAUGGAAACGGAUAGAGUUGACGAAUUGGGCGAUAUUCAGCUGUUUUGCGUGAGCAAAGUGGUGUACUUAUCGUCUGUGUGCGCUGAGAGUCUUGAUUGAACAUUCUAAACCGUCGUAUUUUGUUGCCCGUCGUCUCACGAUGAUGGUGUCUUGUGCGUGCGGGUUGGGAUGUUUCGAUUAAGUAUUUUCGGUGUGAAAGUCGACCACCUAUCCGACCCGUCUUGAAACACGGACCAAGGAGUCUAGCGUAUGUGCGAGUCAUUGGGUGGUAAACCUAUUGGCGUAACGAAAGUAAAGGUCGUUUCUUGCGGCUGAUAUGGGAUCCGUACGGUUUCGAUCGUGCGGCGCACCAUAGCCCUGUCUCGAAGGCUUGCCUUGAGAUGGAGGUAGAGCGCAUGCGCUAGGACCCGAAAGAUGGUGAACUAUACGUGAGCAGGAUGAAGCCGGAGGAAACUCUGGUGGAAGUCCGUAACGGUUCUGACGUGCAAAUCGAUCGUCUGACUUGCGUAUAGGGGCGAAAGACUAAUCGAACCAUCUAGU
rnacentral:rRNA from 1 species